rnacentral:misc_RNA from 1 species
GCAUGGUUUGGACCAAAAAAAUUGGAAAAUUGCUUAAGGCAAAGAGGUCUAAAAGGAAAUCCAUAUAAGUUACUCUAUGGAGAUUUGAAUGAAUUGACAAAAAGUAUAGUUGAAGCUAAAUCUAAGCCAAUCAAUUUCUCUGAUGAUAUAGCUCAAAGACUCAUCCCUUUUUUUCCUCAACUCCAUCAACAAAAAUGGUAAAAGUUCUUUCAUCUGGCUAGGCCCCUAUCCAAUCGUGUUGAUCACGAAACCUGAACAUGUAAAGGAGAUUUUCACAAAGAAUUAUGUGUAUCUAAAGCAAACUCAUCCCAAUCCAUUCACCAAGUUAUUGGCUAAAGGUCUUGUUAGCCUUGAGGAGGACAAAUGGGCCAAACACAGAAAGAUCAUCAAUCCUACCUUCCAUGUCGAGAAGCU